rnacentral:pre_miRNA from 15 species
GCAGGCUGCCCAGACCGAGUGCACAAGUCUCUGACCUAUGAAUUGACAGCCAGUGCCUUGGGCUCCCCUCUGGCUGCCAAUACCAUAGGUCACAGGUAUGUUUGCCUCCAUGCCAGCCGCCGGGA